GGAUGGAUGGCGUGAGGGACAGAGCACGCCUCCCCUGGGUGCGGCGUGUAGCCGAGGGCGGCGCGAAGUUUGCCGGUUCUCGGUUACCCGGCCCACGCGGAACCGCUGCGCGGCCGCUCCGUGUGCCCCGGCCCCGUGUGCUCCGGCCUUCUUGUGUCCCUGGGCUUCCCACCCCACUUCCCCGCUCCCGCUGCUUCCCUCACCCCUGUCCUCGUGUCGGGAAGCAGACGAGCUUCUUCGGGGGGGCGCAGCACCGGUGGCUCUGGCGGGCCGCAGCGUUUGUGGCGGGGGUCGGCUUCCCCGUGCCCCUGGCCCGUUCCCUGCCCUGCCGCCCGCGGCGGGUCUCUCCAGCAGCGCUGGGGCUGGCGGGAUGACUUGCUGGGAAGCGGUUCCGUACUACAUUCGACCGUGUAGCGGGGCCAGCUGUAGAGCUCACUCAUGUUUUCCUUCAGCACUGGGCAAACUGCUAUUCGGAGCAGCCUGCUUCCUCUAUUGAGGCUUAUUUUGAAGAACAGAAUAAGAAUCCUUCCCCUGUUCCGCUAGUUAUUCUAUACUGGUCCAAUUUCGUAGACGGGAUGUUUCUAUGGGUUCUCUUUGUAGCUUGCAGUCUGUGUGUAAUCUUUCAGUGUUACGAUAAAAAUCCUAGUCUAGUGCAGCCUUAGUUUCCUACUGCGUUUACAAGUCGUGGAUUAUUUUAAUGGCUUUAAUGUUUGGAAUUUCCUGAGACUGUGGAAGAAUAGGUAUUACACUGUACUGUUUUCUAACCAAUUUUGCUCAUAUAUGAAAUUUCAUAAAACUGUACACUUCUGUGCUUUUAAGCUGUGGCAUGAAGUUGUUUAUUUAUUCUCCAAAUCCUUGCUCUCUGAAGUCCUUGUUCAGUUAAUGAAUUGCUCUUACUUUUCAUGACAAGUCAAUUCUUUUUGGUUAUGCACUUUAAAUUUGGAUGGCUUGUCUGUGCUUUCUACUCAUGUGUGAUGGUUUGCUAUACAGUCAGUAAGAGCUAUUAUUUGAACUUGCAUUUGUUUAUGGACUUCUUAGAGAUCCCGUUAUGAUCUGGAACCACUGGUCUGGUUUUCACCACUGAAGGUUGUGUAUUGUAUCCCUGGUGCAUCGUGGAGAACUUGCUGUUUAUCACCGAAGAAUUAUGGAGGAGAGCUGUUGAGAAUGAUGUUUAAAAAUUGGGAUAAGAAAGCGGAGUUGUGAAUCCAGAAGUACUACAGAUUAAAUACAUCAUGAAGUAGCAGGGCAGCGGAUUUGCUUUUUCAAGACAUGAAGGUGCUGUAUGAAAAUUCUGCCCUUGAAUUCUCCAUGCUUUUUUGGCACUGUCAUUGCAUCUCUUGAGAAGACACGUUGUAAAGUAUUCUGGGUCUGGCUGGGAUGGAGUUAACGUUCUUCACAGCAGCCCAUACAGUUGUUUGGAUUUGUGGCUAAAAGAAUGUUGGCAACACAUCGGUGUUCUGGCUGUGGCUGAACAGCGCUUGCACAGUAUCCAGGAUUUAUCAAUUUUCCCUACUCUGUUCCUACAGUGAGUGUGCUCAGAGUAGGUGAGAAGCUGGGAGGGAACAUGGCUGGGACAGCUGACCCAAACUCACCAAAGGGAUAUUCUGUGACAUGUAACAUCAUGCUGGGUAACAAAAACUGAGGUGGAGGAAGAAGUAUUUAAAUGGUUUCUUUGGGAGGAUUUUUUCUUGGCUCCCGAGGCAGUUGUUAUUUGGAGGAAGGCUGGACAUCAGUCAGCCUGUGGAAGGUGGUGAGUGAUGUUCUUUGUUUUGUGUUUUUCUUUCCACUGAUGAAACUGUCUUUAUCUUGACCCACAAGUUUUCUCGACUUUGUUCUUUCCCAUCCUACUGAUGGGGAUUAGGAGUGAACAAUCAGCUGUGUGGGUGCUUGGCUGCUGGCUGGGGUCACCACCACAAAAGUACAGAGGACAGAUGGUCUUUAGUGAAGUUUCUCAAUGGGCAGUUGUUUUCAGUUCGUUGUUCUUACUGAGUACUGGUGCAGAAGUGACAUGGAGUCUGACAGAAUUUGGGCUUUGCUCUUGUUUUGCUGCGUUCAGGUGGAGUGGCAGUAAUGGUUAUUGGUAGGUAACUCGUCAUCAGGAUCUAGUGCUUUAUAGAGCAUGGUUUGUAGAAGGAGUGUUUGUAGACCCUCGGAGCAUUGGGCUGUUGUGUUUGUUUUAAAGGGAUGUGGUCAUUUGCUACAGAGGCUUGUGUUUGUUCUGAGAAUAUUGUCCUGUUUGUUGUGUGGUGUUAUAAAGUGUUGAAAAUCAGGGUAUGUUAAGUCAGUGUAUUCAAGGUUUUCUUGUUCUUAUGCUUGAAAGGCAGUAGAGUAAGGAUUUAGGGAAAAUACUGAAGUUGGCUUUGUAAAUUCAGGUACUUUCUGAAGUUUCUCCUUGUUGGAUAUUUUUGCUCUUUCAUUUGAUGGGCUUCACUGUGUAUGUUAAGUGCAGUGCUGGACUGGUGAGUAGCAUACUCUUGUGAAGUUUGAAACCAGGUGGAUUUCAGAAGAAUGGACAUGUCAUGUAAUCCUGAGAUGGACCUAAGCACCUUUCAAGAACUCAGUUGAGAACUGUUCCCUUGAUACAGUGUCAGUCUGUUUCACUGCGACAGUUCAUUGUGGCACAAUUGAUGACCAAGUAAUCUCAUCGUAUUUUCAUCAUUUCCAGAAGUCAACUUAAAUUAUGAAUUUCUUUUGCUUCUAAAAUGGAAACAGAAAGAUGCGGUGCAUGGCAUCUUGGAACACGGAAGGAGUUCUUCACACGGGUUCAUAACAUGCUUGGCUUUAGUAUUAGCCACUGCUAUGGAUGGGCUGCAGCAGUGUAGCACAGUGUGUAAAGCAAAGUACAGGUAUCAGCCAUUAAUUAUGUUUCGUUUUCUUUCCACAGUUAAGUUGAUUUUACAGAAUUUAUCAGGUCUCCAAAGCAGAAACAGCUACUUUAAAAGAGAUGAAGGAGCCAGAAGAUGCUGCAAGAAAAAGAAAGGACAUGAGAAUUCUCAAAAUAAACUUCCCUGACCAUCAUGUUGAAAACUACAUUGUGACUGUUUUUGUAAACUAGCAUCUUUUACUACUAAGCUGUGUUGAAAAUGCGACUACAACGAACUUCUCCAGUUAAUCAGUUUUAGAUGAUUUGUUGAUUUUUAAAGUGCUUCUAGUUACUACACAGUAGAUUUCAAACUUGGAGGUUGGAAAGGUAAGAGAAUUUAAUAGGUUGCUUUGCCAGUAAAGUGUGAGAUUAUCUUUUAGAAAAAAACUGUUUUCAGAAAAGGUUAAGAGUAAUUGCUGAUAAGAUACCAUUAGUUUUUCAGAUGGUAAACCUUCCCCUCCCCCACCCCAGUGAGCAUAUAAAAAGUAUUAUAAAGCUUGUAAUGGCAGAGGUCAUAGUUAAGGCAUUACAAAAUGGUCUUUUGUUUGUCCUGUAGCUGAUUUGUAUUUAAUUUAAAGCCAUAUUAGAAUUUAUGACUACUUUAGGUUAAUCUGAAAUGUUUGAUUGAUACACCAAAAAAAAUUACUUUUUCACAGCCUGUAAAGGGCUGUAUCUCCAAGUACGUACAGAUGCACCGAAGGAUAGGAAACUUGGGAAGGGAUGCCAGUACAUCAGCUAAAUCACAAGGUUCAUAGGACAGCUGGUGCUUAGUUUAUAGCUGUUACCUAGUUGGUGUUUUGGGUCUCUGUGUGUCUGUAUGCCUCUGUUCCCCCUGCCUCUCCAGACUGGGCAUUAUAUUCUGAUUCUGCCUGAAUAGAUGGUACAGGUGCAUGGUGUGAUGACAGCAUUUCCUGAUUACAGGGUUUUAUAACAUCAGAUGUUUAGUGGUUUGGAGGCUCUGUAUUUCCAGUACAAAGGACAAAUCAGAGACUGCCUAUAAUUACAUGGCUUGAAAUUCUGGGCUUCUUUUUUAAGUACCAUCGAUAUAGUAAGGAGUAAUAAAUGAAAUGCUAUACUUGGUGAUGCCUAUAUAAAACAUGGGAUGUUUCCUUAGUCAUGUCUUCUCUGAAGUUGCUUUUGCUACCAUUGUUCAAAAAUUCUGAUGUAAAAGAGAACAGUUUCUGUUGUUAAAAACUAGAAAUAGUGAUCACCUACGAAAGCAGCUUGAGGCAUUUAGGGAAGGUCUAACAGGACAGUCUGAUGAGUACCCUUAAUCCCUAAGGAACGUGCCAGUGUGUUCAACAGAGAGGCAAAACAGUCUAGGCAAGAAUGGAUACAAGUCUGCAUCAACCAGGGCCAGUAAUAAAAAAUACAAAUGAGUGAAUAGAGCAACUGCAAGUCAGUCUUGCGGCAUGCACUUGUACAAUGAGAAAACUCUUUGCAGAAGGAUCUUUAGGUAAUAUUUAAUUCUUUACUAACAUCCUAAAUUGUUAUUCUGGCUUCUACUUCUGGUGAAGUAUUUUAGUCAGAGACUUUUCAUCUGUAAUUUUGAGGUUACAAUUUCUGUGCAACAUGCAAAGUUAAGACAUCACACACGCAGGACAAAGUUGCCCAACACAGUACUUUUCUGGAAGUUUUUCUGUGAUUCCUGGAGUUGACUUUUUUGUGAUGUAGGGAGAAUGAAUUUUAUGCUUGUGAACUGCAUAAUCUUUUAGAGGGCCAUUUAUCUAAACAAAACUGCCUUUAUUUUCAGAAUUGCAUUCUGAAGGCAUAGAACACAAAUACUUGUUAUUUGUAUCUAUGUACAUGAUAUGAAAACCUGAUUGUUAUGAAGUUAGCCGUCUGUUUUGGAGAUGGACUACUUCAUUGUGUAUGAAAUGAUAAAGUGGUGAUCACCAGAAUAUUGAUGUGAUAUUACUAUUUAUUGAAGAGCUUUGGUUGCUGAAAUAGAUGGGAAUUAAUCACAUAGAUACUUUCAAAAGUUUUGGUUAUUGGUAUUUUCUCCUUGCCAGCAGUAAUUCAAUGUCAGUGGUAUGUAGUGCUGGUGUAAAAUUAUUUUGGGGGUUUAAAAUAACCCUAUAUUGUGAACUUUUCAUUUAUUUUCAUCUCAUUAAUUUUUGGCAAAACCUGUUUUUUCACAUGUCAGAACAGGUAUGCAUUGCAUACUUUGCAUUGGUGGACAAAAAGUAGCAUCAAUAUUAUAAAUGCACUUCCUUUUUUUUUUCUGUAACUGAAAGGAAGAUCUUGUUAUAAUUUAAAAUUGUUUUCCCAGUCACAAGUUUAAAUUCUUCUGCAUUUGUUCUUUAGCAGAUACUAAAGCUGGAGGUGAACUGUGUGGUAAACUUUCUGGCAGACAACCAAGCACUGUUAUAAAAUGAACACAUGUAACCUCUAUCUCCAAACAGGAUAAGAAACUACACCCAAAAUGUGUAAUUUCUUGUAUGUUUGAUGGAACCAGUAACUGAAUCGUGUAGCUAAACACGUGAAAUUUGAACUCUGUACAGCAUGUCAACUAAUAUAACAAACAUCAACUACAUAAAAUAUCCACUAGUUUUAUCAUGAAGGCACUUUUAUUUAAAGCAAAGCAGCAUUAAACAUAAGAUACUGGGCCAGGUCCAUAUUUGUGACUGUUCAUUCUGUAUGUGUAAAGGAAUCAAAAGUCAUCUGUACCUGAUGAAAGCCUGAGAAAAAUGAAAAUAAGAAAAAAAGUACACCUCACCAUGCCUUCUGCCAUCCGGGGUGGAUAGCAAAAUGAAAUCUUAACAGGUUGUUGCAGCAAACAGUUUUGUAAUUACCACAGUUACUUUAGGAUGUAUAAAUCCAAUUAUAACAGUUACAGCUAGAGUACUUAAAAAAUUCAAGAGGUGUAUAGCUAGAGAGGUAAUACAUUGGCAAAAUAAAAGAGAAAACAAUGUUCAUAACUGCUCGAAAGCUUAGUGCAGUUUUUGGACACUGUUCAUCACGUAAGUUUAAGCAAAUGUGAUUACAAUAUAACAUCUAUGCAAAUAUAAUACAGGCAUCUAUUUAAAUAUUUAAUUUUCUAGCUACUGAAAUUGCCCACUUUCAGUGGAUUUUUUUUCCCAUUCUUUGAAACUGGUCAUUUGUUGUCUGGCACUCUAGAAUCAGCAUCAAUUCUUGCUCCUGCUGGAAUUCUAAAUAUAUAGCCCUGGUGAAAUUUUAGAUCCAACAUACAAAAGCCUUUAGGUAAAGGGUUUUUUUUUUUCCCCUUAAUACAAAAACCCCUCUUAGAACAGCUUUGUUAUCUCACUUCCUUAGUAGUAUCUAAUUCAUCCUCCUCAUCGUCCUCUUCAUCAUCUUCAUCUUCCUCCUCAUCCUCUUCUUCAUCUUUUCUUAGCAUUCUGCGGGAAAUCUGAUAAAAAUCCAAAAGAAGGAUAUCAACUGUUUGUUUUGUGCAAACAAAAAUUAAUUCUCCAUUGGCAUUUUCAGCCUAAAUGGUUGUAGGGUUCUUAUUUAGGGGAGGGGGUACGUUGUUUAUUUAUUAACUCUUCAUAACAUGCACACCAAUGGAAAGAUACAUGACACAGAAUAAAAAUACUACAAUGAUUUUUAAAAGCUAAAAAAAAUAUCCAUGUAGUCCUUCAGAACUAUUACAGGAGAGGGAAAUGGUAUUUUUUACCAAAUUAAUGCUAAAAAUCAACGAUGCAAAUCACUUUUUUCCUGGGUUGGCUGCUGAAGCAGCAGGCUGAAGAGGAGUAUUAGGGCCUAAUCUUAUCUUGAAGACAUCAGACCUCAUCAGUUAAAAGCUCCAAACGAUCCUGCUCUAAGCUUUUUACCUUUUUUUCCCACAGAAUUAAUUAGACAAACUUAGAAUCUCGAUUCAUAGAUGAACUUCUUUCCCUGCCCAUCAGUGCUUGCCUUUACAGUGACUCCUCUUUUUGGUUCAUCAAACAUUAAAAACAAGUGCCAGCUGCCAGGCUUUCAUUUCAUUUGACAGAUUCUGCAGUCUGUACUUUUUUUUAAUGAGGGCUCAAUCUAAUUCCUAUUGAAGAUAGAUUCUUCACAGACAAUGCAACAUUUACACUUUAAAGGAGGUUACAUGUUUUUUUUCUCUUUCCCCAUCAGAAAGAGAACAUUGAAGAAUCCAAGUCAUCUGGAAUGCUUUUGAAAAAUUUCAGGUUCAGUAGUUCUCUAAGGGCAUCUGCAGCUCUAAUUUUGGUCAUAUUUUCUGUGUCUGCUCACAUACAGUGACAUAAUAAAAACUUCUGCAC